CGGCGUAUGAACAGACUGCGUCAGGUUCUCCGACGUCUCUCCCUCUUCCACAAAAGGUAAAGACAUGAAAUGGUAGUUAUCUCGGCCGGAGUUUGGCAGUAAUGGUGAGAAAAAGUAACAGACCAGGGAACAUAGAACCCUUUUUUUUAAAAAGGGGUCCUAUGUUCCCCAGUCUCAUACAAAGAGGGGAACAUAGGACCCGGGGAACAUAGACACGCUCCCUAGUGUUAAACCUGGGCCUGUUUCGAUGAACACAAAAUGGAUAUCCUGGCAGGAAUGGUAGAAAGACACACACGAAGCUCUUCCUCAACAGCUCUCAGUCUCUCUCUGUUUUAAUGUUUAAUACCAUUAGGGCUGGCGCGAAUGCCAUUUUUCAGGCUUCGAAUACUCGUUGGUUUUCCGAGCGAAUAUUCGAAUA